rnacentral:rRNA from 1 species
AACGCUGAAGACCUGGCUUUUGUUGGGUUGGAUGAGUGGCGAACGGGUGAGUAACACGUGAGUAACCUGCCCCCUUCUUUGGGAUAACGCCCGGAAACGGGUGCUAAUACUGGAUAUUCACUGGCCUUCGCAUGGGGGUUGGUGGAAAGGUUUGUUCUGGUGGGGGAUGGGCUCGCGGCCUAUCAGCUUGUUGGUGGGGUGAUGGCCUACCAAGGCUUUGACGGGUAGCCGGCCUGAGAGGGUGACCGGUCACAUUGGGACUGAGAUACGGCCCAGACUCCUACGGGAGGCAGCAGUNGGGAAUAUUGCACAAUGGGCGAAAGCCUGAUGCAGCGACGCCGCGUGAGGGAUGGAGGCCUUCGGGUUGUAAACCUCUUUCGCUCAUGGUCAAGCCGCAACUGUGGGUUGUGGUGAGGGUAGUGGGUAAAGAAGCGCCGGCUAACUACGUGCCAGCAGCCGCGGUAAUACGUAGGGCGCGAGCGUUGUCCGGAAUUAUUGGGCGUAAAGGGCUUGUAGGCGGUUGGUCGCGUCUGCCGUGAAAUCCUCUGGCUUAACUGGGGGCGUGCGGUGGGUACGGGCUGACUUGAGUGCGGUAGGGGAGACUGGAACUCCUGGUGUAGCGGUGGAAUGCGCAGAUAUCAGGAAGAACACCGGUGGCGAAGGCGGGUCUCUGGGCCGUUACUGACGCUGAGGAGCGAAAGCGUGGGGAGCGAACAGGAUUAGAUACCCUGGUAGUCCACGCUGUAAACGUUGGGCACUAGGUGUGGGGGCCACCCGUGGUUUCUGCG